rnacentral:rRNA from 1 species
CCUACGGGAGGCAGCAGUGAGGAAUAUUGGUCAAUGGCCGGAAGGCUGAACCAGCCAUGCCGCGUGAAGGACAGCGGCCUAAGGGCGUUAAACUUCUUUUGUGCGGGAGCAAUAAUGGUCACGUGUGGCCAGACGAGAGUACCGUACGAAUAAGCAUCGGCUAACUCCGUGCCAGCAGCCGCGGUAAUACGGGGGAUGCAAGCGUUAUCCGGAUUUAUUGGGUUUAAAGGGUGCGUAGGCUGUGAGGUAAGUCAGCGGUGAAUUGCCCCCCCUCAAAGGGGUGAAGGGCCCUUGAUACUGCCUUUCUUGAGUGCGGAUGCCGUGGGAGGAAUGUGUGGUGUAGCGGUGAAAUGCAUAGAUAUCACACAGAACACCGAUUGCGAAGGCAUCUCACGAAUCCGCGAUUGACGCUGAUGCACGAAAGCGUGGGUAUCAAACAGGAUUAGAUACCCCAGUAGUC